UACGUAGGGGGCAAGCGUUGUCCGGAUUUAUUGGGCGUAAAGAGCGUGUAGGCGGUUAGGUAGGUCCGUUGUGAAAACUCGAGGCUCAACCUCGAGACGCCGAUGGAAACCAUCUAACUAGAGUCCGGAAGAGGAGAAUGGAAUUCCUGGUGUAGCGGUGAAAUGCGCAGAUAUCAGGAAGAACACCCGUGGCUAAGGCGGUUCUCUGGGCCUGUACUGACGCUGAGGAGCGAAAGCGUGGGGAGCGAACAGG
rnacentral:rRNA from 1 species